UGCAUAGCCAAAUCUAGAAAAACUAAAGGGGACCUUCGUAUCUCCAAUGCCUAGAGGUGCUCUCCCUAAGACUGGUGAAGAUAAGCAAACACAGUAGGAUAUGAGGCUAUUAGAUAGUCUUUAGCUAGAGCCACAAUGAACCUAAGGUGGGCUCUGACCAUUUAGACCAACGAAGAGCAUAGCAGGUAUCUACAGAUCCAGAUUAAAAAGAAGAUAACGUAUUCUCGAUGUGACAUCACCCUAAUAUGAUUAUGAAAGGUGUGUACAUACAAAUUGUAGUUGAUGAGUUGUUGGAGGUAGGCUCAAAUAAUCCUUGGGAUAUCAGCUAGGGCGUUGGCAUUGAAUAGUUUGCUAGUCAAUCUAAGGUUAAAAAGGAUAUCCAAGUUUAGCGAUUCAAGCUGGUCAUGCCAUGAUUCAGAUAGAAACUGUUGGUUGCUGGAGACCAAAAGCACAAGGCACCAAGAAGCAAAUAUUGGUUAGCUGGUGGAAAAUGGGAAAAGGCUAAAAUAUUUGAAAGAACAUCCUUUUCCCAAACAACUAGCCUUUGUUAGAAAACACAGUGGGAUUACCCUUCCAAAGGUCACAUCAGAUGGACCAUGGCCAAAAAUAUUUGAAAGAACAUCCUUUUCCCAAACAAGUAGCCUUUGUUAGAAAACACGGUUGGACUACCAUUCCAAAGGCCACAUC
rnacentral:lncRNA from 1 species